rnacentral:tRNA from 1 species
GCUCAACGGUAGAGCAAAUGGCUGUUAACCAUUAGGUUGUAGGUUCAAAUCCUAU